GUAGAGUUAUUGUUUUCAGUCUCCUUCUUACUUUCUUUCGAAGUCUCUUCGAUGACCACAUUCUUCCAAUGCUUGAGUAAAUCAGAAGCUAAAGUUUGAAUCUUCUCCUCGGGAUUCUUCACAAGGGAGCGAAGACUUUUACCAACCUGAGUAUCGACGAGAACUUUCAUAGAUACCGGGAUCUUCCGCAGCCGCCGGAGCGCAUCAACGCACCGAUCUACCUCCGACGGCCCUCCGCCGCCCGCCACCACGUCCGCCGCCUUCUUCGCCACCUCAAAAGCCUCCAGCAGUUCCUUCUCCAUCGCUCUCAGAUCUACGCCUCAAAAAUCAGCCGA
rnacentral:misc_RNA from 1 species